UUACAUAUUUCCCUUUCUCGGCGUUGCUGCAGUCAUAGAAGCUCUCCACAGCAAGAGAACACUGACAAGACUCCUGGUAGAACUGCAAAAGGAGGUGCUAGUCUAUGGCUCAUAGCAGGAGCUGCGGAUAUGAAGAAUUCUAAACCUCUCAGAGGGAUUCCACAGGGGCAUUGACUGUAGAGUCUCCUGAUAAAGCCUCUUCUGAUCAGAGAUGUGUGAAAACAGAAGCCAAGUCAUAGUCUACCCAAGUUCUCAAGUGCUAGGCAUUUGACUGAGUUGUACAGAAUAUUCACUGCUUCAGACUCUAAAAUGACGAGGCCAGCUAAACUCUCAGUGUUAAGUGGACUGGGAAUAGCAGUGCUCAUUUUUACGGAAACUGUUCUAAAGACGGGAACAGCACAAAAGGAAAAGAAGAUAAAUUCAAUGAAAUUUGAGAGAUUUUCUUAGAGAGAACAUUCCCGGCUGGCUAGUUUUCAUUGUAGGGGAAGAUGCUAGGAAGACUGCUAUGGGAGAAAAGUCGUCAGCAUUAUUUCUUACCUAUGAACCCUGCAAGCUACAAGCUGUUAUGCAAGCUGUAGCCACUGGUGCCAUGGAGACUAGAGCUUUUCUCAGCCCUGGUCAAGAAGCUUCCCUCUGCUCAAGGUGCUGUGAAUAAGUGACUGAGAGCUUAGCACUAAACAGAACGGCUACACCACCUUUUUCAAGGCUUGGGGAGGAAAUGGGAAGAGUGCAGGAGCUGGAGAAAGCAGAGGAAUGCUGUGAAUUGCCGUCUUCUGGACACGAUAUGGCCAUUGCACUCAUGGACUCCCAACAGCUAUGUUACUUGCACAAGAUCAGCACAAGAUAAGGCCCAUCAAUCUUCCCUGUGGGUGGAGAAGGGCUCAUGAAGCAUCACCUCUUCCCGAGGGGAUAUUGACAGCUCAUUAUUGCUGGAGGAGAGGGAGUAGUUACUAUCAAAGACUAAAAACUUUUAAUUAAAAAGAAUUUUAGUUUUGACGGUUAGGAAGCGAUAGAAUAAUUCCAUAACUAAUACAAGUUUAUUUUAAAACAGACUUCGAAAGUACAUGUUCUAAGUAUCUAAUACACUGAUUACUAUUA
rnacentral:sRNA from 1 species